rnacentral:lncRNA from 1 species
CGAUCAGAUCAUCUACAGCUGGACUCUGAAUGGAAAAAUACUAGAAGAAGGACCAAUGAUUGGAAACAGCAGCAUUGAUCUGGAUGAGGGAACUGAUGGAAACAUCAGCUGCAGCGUGAAGAACCACGUCAGUCACGCACAGAACACCAUUAGACUCAAACCCUGUCCUGUGUCUGUGGUGUUUGUGCUGGUCUGGUGUCUUCAGCUGAUGGUUCUGUUGGGUCUGUUAGGAGGUUUUCACAUCUACAUGAGACACACGUCAGGAAAGAAGCAGGAAGAUCAGAAAGUGAGGAUGAGAAGAUUUAGAGAAGGACCUGAACACACAGCAGAAGAUUCAUGAGAGCAGCAGCAGAUCAUCACAUCUAUGAGAAAUAACUUCAUAAUGUCACCGAUUCUCACAUCAAUCCAGCUUUCAGCUGUCGACAGCAGAUCUUAUAAUAUAAACCCAAGAGAUUAAUUAAAACCAGGAGAUAUGAAUUAAACCAGACUUUCUACAGUUUUAGUUAUGAAGAUUAUUUUCUGGACAUUUGUCUUUUGUAACAGUUUUAUUGCUUAUAUUACUUAUUUAUCUGCACGCAUUGAAAGUACUAUAAGUUCAUUUAUUUCAUUACAUGAAACCCCUUCUGAUUAUCACUGAUAAAACUUGUGUUUCUCUGAAUCAGAUCUGUCACAUUGUGUUUAUUUUCAUAUGUUCUUUUACUUUAUUCUGUU